rnacentral:lncRNA from 1 species
AUCCACAACCCUUGCAUUUAGUGAAGAACAAGACCAACAGCAGCUGAGUUUCGGCUGCGAGCAAGAUUAGUUUCGGCUACUAAGCUGAGUUUCGGCUACUCAAGACCAACAUCAGUGGUCUAAAGUAUGAUGAAUUCCAUAACAUUUUCUUUUUUUCUUUUUUUGGCUUUAAAACCAGUGGUCGUGUAUUUUCCCAAAGUGGGUGGGUCUCCCAGCAAAAUCCACAGUAGCAAAUUGCAGAAUGAUAGAUAUUUAUUGGUCAAGCACAACCCACAAGUUUUUGUGUUAAUUGAGAUACAAACUAAACUAAGUAUAUAAUUUGAACAACUCUUUAAAGAAGAAAAAAGUGGAGGACUUUUACAUUUAUAGCUGCUGAGGUUCGCUUUCAAGUGAUAAUUUACCAUCAACGAAGUGUAAAGCUGUCUACAACUGUGAUUGACUUUCAGAACUCAUGUGUAUAAUUCAACUGCUUGUUGUAUAAAUUUGUUUGUGUCAAAUGACAAAAUCUACAAAUUCUCCAGAGGGAAACUGACGACAAGUUUUAUCUCUGAAGCCAUUGAGCGCAAGACCAAGUUGGGAUGUCUUCCCUCUGUUGCUCUGUUGCUUUCGCAGGUGAAACGAAGAAACGAAGAGGAAGAAAGAUUUUAUUCUUCUCAAAAUAUCAUCAGAAACGUCGUCGUUUUGGAGUAUUCCAAAAAGAAAAAAAAAUAAUCAAAACGACG